UACGAAGGGGGCUAGCGUUGUUCGGAUUUACUGGGCGUAAAGCGCACGUAGGCGGAUCGUUAAGUCAGGGGUGAAAUCCUGGAGCUCAACUCCAGAACUGCCUUUGAUACCGGCGAUCUCGAGUCCGGAAGAGGUGAGUGGAACUCCAUAGUGUAGAGGUGAAUUCGUAGAUAUUAGGAAGAACACCAGUGGCGAAGGCGGCUCACUGGUCCGGAACUGGACGCUGAGGUGCGAAAGCAUGGGGAGCGAACAGG
rnacentral:rRNA from 1 species